GUCCACCGUAGCUGGACCGUAAGUGAAAAAAAAACGUUUCAUACGAUUGUUGCCCCGCACGAGAAGACGAGGGUUCCUCUGCCGCCGCCGCCGCGCCCACAUCUUCUUAUCCCCGGUGCUCGUCCUCUCCCCGCCGUCGCCGAAUCCGGACGAGAUCGGCAGGAUCGGCUGCAUCUCGCGCGACGCCCGGCCACUGUGCUCGGGGAGAAGGGAGAAAGUAGGAGCGGUGCUGCGACCUAGGCAGCAGCUCGCCAAGCCGGGCGGCGGCAAACGAGAGCCUCAGCCAAGAUUGGCCGUCGAAGCAGAGGAAGGGAGGAGCUCCAGCCGGAUACGAGCGGAGGACACCCAUGGCUCUUGGCGGCCAUCGACGGGGACUUGAAUGCCCCAGCCCCCAAAGCUUGCCUCAUCUUCUACAGGCAACAGGGGACGGCUUCCCUCCUGGCGCCCGUAGGCAGCCUCGGCUCGCCGCCGUCGGGAUCUGGCCAACACCGGCUCCUAGCGUUGCAUCCAUAAGUUCCGGAUCUCACCGCUGCGGGAUGCGAGGAAGAGGAUGAGGUACGGCAUGCAACAACGAAAGAAGGUGCAGAGCCAACGACUGGAUUUUGUUUGGUUAAAGAAGGUACAGGGCAACGACUGUAUUUAGAUCAUAAUAGGAUCGGUUCGCAUUGGUGGCGCAGUAGUGCUGCGUAGGCAGUUGCUACCAAUCUUCACCAUGCUGGAUGAAGCCGUCAAGGUGAGAUGAUCGAUUUCUUCUUGUCCACUGUCACCCUAUUUAAGAUUACUGACCUGGUUCCUCUUAUUUCUCUUGUUGAUGCAAACCUGCUCACUUCACAAGAAGCGCUCACAACUUCCAUCGUAGACUUCGUGGCUGGCAUGCUUAUCUUAUUUUCCUUUCUGGAUCAGGGAACAAAUUGCUCGAUCAUAAUCGUUUGUUCUUCUUUCUGUUCCAGGAAAGCAUCGGAAAGAGAUGUUUCUAUGCAACAUAAUCCAAAAGUUUAAUUUGAGGUAUUCCAUCAAGUGUAUGUUCUAUAGCCUCCAUCCUGUAGUUUAUUUCCUUUGUUUCAGGUUGUACAGAGGAGCUCAGCGACAACUGAGGUGCUGCUAGAAUUACAUCAGCUACUAACUUACGUUAAUUUAAUCAAUUCCAUUGGCGUACUUUAGGAACGAGGCUGUAUUGGGUGGUCUCUGACCGCCUGACAGACAAUACAGAGUCGCCGUAGUUGUGUUGUGUUCAUGUAACACUGAAACUUGACAUAGUUAGUAUAAGAAGGUUUGGUUUACUUCCACUAUGUUGCUGUUCAAUCUAUUUUAUAAACAUGUUGAUUAGUCAUUCUGGCAAAGAUGCAUCUUCAAUAUUUCAGAAAUCUCUUUUCCAGAAACUCCAAUUCUGCUCAUAGGAAUUGCGAUGCCCAAUAUUUCUCAAUUUGCUGACAACGCUGUAAUAUAUGUAUGCUUUACGCAUGCCGAUCCAUUGGAAGAGUAUUUUCAAGGAUUUUGCUGCUUACUAAUUUUUUACAUCCAUUGCACAAACUAAGCGGUAGGGUGACUGUUCCCUUUCAUUAGAACUAAAACAUAUCUUUGUAUUUUUAUAAGGUAUUUCUCCCCAAAAUCUUACCCAAACGAUUCCCAUGAAGUAAUAUAUUUCGAUAUGUUUUUAAACUUCUAAUUAUGUGCCGUACAUUAUUGUUGUGGUGUUGAUCAUAUCAACCACGAAACAAGGUUUAUAUUUGUUUGAGUUUUUAUUCUCUAAUGAUAUAGCAUCCACAGGACCCGAGCACAAUGCUAAUUCAUAGAAAGCAUCUCUUGCUUGCGUUAAUUUGGCCUAGAGUUCUAUGUUUACAUGAUGCUCUGGAAGAAUUGUAUAUUGUUUAUCUCCCACAAGGUAAUUUUUUGAUUUAUCAUGUGUACUUCUGUAUUCAAUGUUUUCGUAACUUAUUUGACUUUUUGCACAUUAUGCAUUGACUGACCAUGAUCUAUGUGCCCAGAUAGCAGUAGAAUCAUCUUUGGAAAAACUAUUACUUGUGAAGAUAAAUAAAAGUUCCGUCUUAAAAAAUCAACUGAUGUGCUGGUUGAAAUUAUCAUGUUGGAUAAUAUUUGCUUUUACUAGCAGUUGCAGUGCUCUUGUUAUUUUAUUUCCACAAAUAUCAUCAUGUUUUGCUAUUGACGUCAUGCUAUAUUCCUUGACUGAAAGCAAACCCUUUAAUUGCAGCUGUACUAAGGAUUCUUUCCGUCUAUAUCAUGUCAUGAUUUUCUUACUAGCUGUAGUGGUGCUCUUAUUAUUUUAUUUUCCAGAAUUACUGUCAUUUCACAGAUGGUGUAAACCUUGUUCAUGGCUAACUUAUAGAAUAGCAAACCUGGUUCAUGGCUAACUUAUAGAAUAUCAAACCUUGUUCAUGGCUAACUUAUAGAAUUGCAGAAACAGAUUUCAAAAACCAUCAAUAUCAGGAACACUCUGACCAUGUAUUUGAUUAUGUGAAAGACCCAAUAUAUGAUGAGGUCCUGCAUCUCCCGAUGUUGAGCUAUAUAGACUGGUAUUUCCAGUAAAUUUUAUUGACAGACACUUUGGCGUCGUUAACAAUUGACACGCACUUUGGUGUCUCAGCAACCAGGUCGCCAUCGACCACCACGGUGGCUCGCCGUGAUGCCCUCCCGCCACCCUAUGUACGACACCAGCGGCGAGAUGGGCGGGAACUCUUUUGCGUGCCGUCACACAGGAACAACACACGUCAUACACUCUGAAGGACAUGUUUGUCAGGCUUGACCUUGCCGCCUCUGUUGCUGGAGAUCAGCCGAAGAGUUAGCUUAUUGCCGCUUUGCUUCAAUGCUCUUCGACUCUCCGUAAUGAGCAGCUGAUGGUGCUUGGACGAAACAAUUGAUCGGAAAAUGGGUAGUGUUGUACCGGUGGUCAUGUGUCCGCCCACUAACUGUAAAACACCUAAGAUGAUUCUUCAGGACUUGAUACAUUCCAAUUACACAUUUGGAUCUUCUUCUUACUGUGAUACUUGGUUUUACUUAGUAAUCUUAAGAUCAACUCUUUCGAUUUAUAACUAUAUGUAGAGCUCAGGACCAGACCUUGCAUGUGGCUGGUUUAAUUUGUUUACUGAAGAAAUUAGUUUAAAAAUGAUCACAGUUUUACACAUGUUCACACUAUUUUUGUUUCAAAAAUAUAUGUUUGCACUUUUUUUAAAUCAUAAAAAGUUCCCCCAAAAAGUUCCACUUUUACUAAAAAAAUCAUUUAGAAAUGUAUAAAAAUCAAGCAUUUUUUAAAGAAAAAACAUCUGUUAAAAAUGUGCUUUAGAGAAAUGUUUUAAUUUUCAUAAACGUUUAAGAUUCUUAAAGAAGUGUUCCAAUUUUUAUGUAAACCUAACUUCUAUUAAAAAUAAGCAAAUUUUCAUGGUUUCCUGAAAAGCCAAAAAAAAAAAAAAACGAUUGACAAACUACUCCAUGCAAAACUGCUCUUCCAUCUAAUGAAGAACCCUAAGUUGGCUUUUUCACGUCCAAACUUGAUUCUACAAAAAGCAAUAAUCAGUUUUACCUUAUCAUCGAAGUUUAUUAAAAUUGGAUAUAUAAAAUGGUGCACAGUGGAAUAUGAAGCUGUUUGUGUCUCUUUGUUUGCCCGGUGCAAUGCACGGGCAUUUGUACUAGUCUUUCCCUAAUAAUAAAGCACGGAUUGACUUUGUCGGGUUCACCGUCACAAUACGCUUCUUCCCGUGAUUUUACGCUUUCAGUUUGAAUUUAAAACAUAUUCGAGGUGGUACUAAAUUUUGUCUCCUCACAAUAUUAUUGACUCGAUUGACCGCUACGUUUCGCUUAGCUGGGCUGCGAUCCAGUUGGGCCUUGGCCCGUCUCUCUAUUAUGCCCGUCCGCUCACCGUCGUCAUACUUUUGCUAAAACACCCCUGUGUUUUUCCGUAAUACAACCCGUAGUCCUUAUUUUACUAAUAACGUUUCGUUAAAAAAAGGUACGUUUUAUCCAAACGCUCAGCGGACAAGUGAAGGUCAGGUGCGGGCGGAGCUGGGCGGAGCUGCGGCAGAAGGGGUGGCGCGACGAAGCAGGAGAAGAUGUUCAGGCGCGGCGCGGCGGGCGGAGCGGGAGAGGUUCAUGCGGAGCUGCGACAAAAGGGGCGGUGCAACGGAGCAGGAGAAGAUGGCCGAGAAGAUGUUCAAGCACGGCGUGGCGGGCGGAGCAGCAGAGGUUCAGGUGCGGCGCGGCGGGCAGAGCAAGAGAGGUUCAGGGGAGAUGCCAGCGGAGCAGGAGAGUUCAUGGGCGGUGGAGCAGGAGAGGUUCAUGGGCGGUGCCCUUGUCGCCGGACGGCCAUCCUUGCUGUGCUUGACGGAGGAUAGAAGGGGGAACAUUUUCUGGUGGGUACGCCGGCCGCGGGCGCGCUUUGCUGUGAUCUGUCCGCCGCCACCAAUCCUCUCCGGCCUCCUCCGUAUCCUUCUCAAUCUCGGACGAGCUAUUCCCAUGCCGUGAUUUGGAUGGACAAUAGGAGGUCGUGUCCUUCUCCAACACCAAGCAAUGGAGUGCCCGACCCGGAUUUGAGUUGUUUGCUAUAAGAAGGAGUGGUCCUCGGCCGAAAUCUCCAUCAGAUUGCGUCCUUGGACCAUAAGCUCCAUCAAAGCCCGUCCAAAUUGCUUUUUUUGACGCAACGUACAAUGUCGCCGUCGAGUUCGCCGGAGGAGGAAGUGCCGAGUUCGCCGAAGGAACAAGACCAUCUGUCCAACCGCCCAAUUUCGCCUGCCUCAGCUAGACCAGAGGUAAUGUAUCGCCUUCAUAUUCACUGGAUGGAAUCCCCUGUUUGUCCCCUGUCUCUUGUCUCCGAUUCUGCUCUGUAGCCUGACUGAAAUAAGGGACAGUACUUUACUUAAUUUAUAAAGCAUGAGAAAACUGAUGGAGGAUGGUUAGUACAGCAGCAAAGUUUUGUAAGCUCAAAUUUAUAGACUGAUUUAGUAGUCUCUGUGAGUGCUACAUGCAAGUCAGUUUAGAGUUUCUGAGGGGAACGGCCUGGUCCAUCUUUUCUUGUGAUGUGAAUUAUGAUGUAGGACAUAGCCACAAGGGUUAUUUCUUCUGUUGGCAAGUAAUCUUAAGACUUUUUUCCCCGGGUGAUUCGUAAGACAGAUUACCCUACACAAUUCACAGUUUUAGUAUCUCUUAUGCACCUAAAUAUAUCUGUAACUGAAAAAAAUCAGGUUCCCGCAGGUUUUGACUUGACUAACAAAUUUAAGUGAAUUUGUUAUUCCUUUGUGUGCUCUUAUUUUUAUUACUCAAAUAAAUCUGUAAUUUAGCCAGGCUAAAAUCAAUGGGAUGCAGGCCAUAACCAUGUACACUGGUACUGUAGGCAAACAACUACACUGGUACUGUAGGCAAACAACUAUGGACUGUUAGUGUAUUGAUAGUGCUAAUUAUAUACUAUCCUAAGUAAGCAUAAAUUACAGUGCCCAAGAUAUAUUAUCAGAGUAACCAGAGUUUGGGUGUAUUAUUUGGAGUUUUGUUCCUUAAGAGUUUCUCUUCCAGAGGGAGACAACUACUUUCUUUGUCCUUACUCAUAUAGUACUAAUGAAAUCCAAUUGCGUACUGAAAUCUACUUGGUUAUUCUUCACUUAUAGUGGUAUUAAUGAAAUCCAGUUGCUUACUCAUCUAUUAGCUUAGCAAAACUGAAACUAUAUAUACUGUACUGUACUUUCAGUAAUAUAGAUGCCCCGUCUCGAAGUCCCCAAGUACCAGGUGCUUGCUCCCAGAUCCGCACUAUAUACCCAAUUUUUGCUUGAUUGUGCAGAUUUGUAAAAAAUUCGAUUUGGAGACAAGUUAGAAUAACCUUGUGAAUUAUUGCUAGCCUUGCAAGAGGCAGGCAAGGAAGGCCUGAAUGUUGCUGAAGCCGAGCUCAUAAACGUCUCACGUCAUGUGGUUCUGUGAUAUUAUGAAUCUUCUUCUCUGAAGUGUGUAGUCUUCUAGCGUUAUUCCCUUAGUUUUUUUUCAUAUGCAUGACAAAGAAAAGUGACAUGCAUUUUAAAUCAUUGGAAGUAAGCGUUGAUGUGUUGUGAGAACAAUUAAUGAUGUACCUUCAUCUGCAUGAAGAACGAAGAUUUUUCAUGAUUUUGUAUAUCCUUCAGUUGCUUGCUGUAACAUGAAGAAUUCACAAGCAUUCAUAUGUAGCAGUGAGUAGAAUCCAUAUGUAGCAGCAAGUCAUGUUUGUACGUUUAUACAUUAGAGGUGUUUGGGCAUGAGUCAAUUGGUUGUAGCAGCAGUUAGCAAGUCUUCUGCAGAGUUGAAUGUAUCUUUACGUAAGGUUAAACUUCUAUUUUUGUUUCCCUCAAGCAUGCCAGGUCAAGCAUGGUAGAAAAGUUGAAUGUUUAAUACUUGUGAUUGGUCUGGAUCUGAAAUAUUCUACCAACAAACUAACGGUUUGAGGCUUACCUUUUAUUUGUGUUGUAACUGCAGAAAAUAGAUGACAUCACUGAACUGAACAUUGCAGAGGAUUUGGAUAAUCGACCUUAAAAAAAGCAAAAAUUGCUGAACCAGGUGUUCUGGAGCCAUCGCCAAUGUCGCCAACUAUGUCAGCAUCUACACCAAUUUCUGAAUGUUUUGAAUCCAUUGUGCCGGAAUCGGAUGAUCAGAUAGAUAAUGAUCCAUUGCCAUCUACUCCAUCACCAUCUAGCUCAACAUUAUCUCCUGUUUUCUCAUUACAUGAUAUUAAGGAACCAGAUUCAAAUAAAGAGAUCAAAGUUGAUGAGACAUGAUUAUCUCCCACAAGACUAUGCAUUGACCGACCAUGAUCUAUGUGCACAUAUAGCAGUAGAAUCAUCUUUGAGUAAAGAAUUGCUGGUUCGGAUAGAUAGAAGUUAUGUGUUACAAAAUCAAUUGAUGUGCCUGCUAGAUGAAAAGGAGUGGGUAAAUGAUGGUGUGAUCUAUGCAUAUAUAUGUUGUUUAAAGGACUAAAUUCAUGUCCAGAAUGACAAUAAAGUAUAUGUUGAGAGUCCUUUUGUUACCUCACUAUUAAGACGGGAUGGUAACCUUGGCAUACAAGAAGAUAGUGCCUUUAUGACAAAUAUUGUCCAAAAAUAUAUGGAGUAUGACAUGAUAGAACUUCCAAUAAAUGCCAGCAACAUGCAUUGGUAUUUAGCUAUCGUGAAUACAAAAAAGCGUGAGAUUCAAGUACUGGACUCAUUGUGCUGGAAGUUUGUCCGAGAGGACCUUGCUAUUACGCUACGAGGAGUACAAUUUCAUUUGGAUAUUCUUAAAAGUCAAAACCUGAUUAAGGACGAUUGGAAAGACGUUGAUCUUACUGAAUGAAAGAUCACAGAACAAUUACAAACUAUGAAGACAGUUCUUCUUGUGGUUUAUUUACGGUCAAAUUUAUGGAAUAUUUCACCGGACGUACACUAUCCUACCCAAUUACACAGGAAAUGAUUUUUGAGCCGUGCAUAUUGGGUUAGAGUUUGUGAUAUCCUCCUGUUGCAACGCACGGGCAUUUGUGCUAGUCUAUCCCUACCUAAUAAUAAAGCACGGAUUGACUUUGUCGGGUUCACCGUCACAAUACGCUUUUUCCUGUGAUUUUACGCCAUCUAUAAUUUGUUAGUAGAAAAAAAGGUUCCGUAAAACGAGAUGAAAAAAUAAUUGCUCGGCGCUGAACUCGAACCUGGGUAUCCUUCAUGUGAGCGGGCUUGGCUAGCCAUGCGAACUAUGGCCCGACUUUGAAAAAACCAAGGUUCAGAUUUGAAUGAACAUGCGACGAGUAGAUCCGAGCGAAACAUUUGAAGGGAAAUUUUCGUAUUGGGCCACGGCUGGGCCUAAUCAACACCCUCGCAAAAGGCCCGGCGGUAUCGAACUCGUGACUUUCUGUCGUGACGAAAGGCUCGAGCAACCAACUAGACGUCCAUAUUUGAUGUUAAAUAAUCCCACAUUGUUCCUUUAGACCGAAUCCUACCAGUUUAUAUAUGUUAGCAAGUGUCAUGUAACCAGCAAGACGCAUAAGAAAAGAGACCGCGAGAUGAAUUGAGGGCUGUCUAUUGAAGGAAAUAAUUGAUGGUUGUCUAUUAAAGGAAGGAAUUGAGGGCUGAAUAUGAACAAAAUAAAGUAAAGAUGAAUUUCCGGAUUGUGGGCAUAAAAGGAAGGAAUUGAGGGCUGUGUCUAUUUUAGGAAAUAAUUGAUGGCGGUCUAUUAAAGGAAAGAAUUGAUCCUUGUCUAUUAAAGAAAGGAAUUGAAGGCUGCCAUGGGUAUUAAAUUAUAAAGAAAGACAAUUUACAUGUGAGGAGAUAUUGCAUUGCGUAUUGGCCCAUUAAAUUAUAAAGAAAGGAAAUUUACAUGUGAUAUUGCAUUGGCGCCGAGAUUUGGGGAUGCUGCAAUGCUCUGAACAAAAAAGGAUAAAUAGAGCAGAUACAGUGAAGAUAAAUUAUGAUGGAACAAAAGAACAACGGUUCACCGAGAAUAUAAUACGUUUUUCAUACAAUACGUUUUGUGCAUGCUUCUAAAAAAUAAUUGCAUUGUGUUUGCUGAUCUGAUGUUUGAUUUCCAUACACUUGCGCAAAUUAUGUAUUUAUUUACAUUGCGAUAUUGAUAUGUCUUUUUCUUUUAGCUGGAGCCUUGGCGGUACAUAAAAUAUGGCAAGCCUUGUUGUUUGAACACUUCUACUGAAAGGAAUUGGGUAUAUACGCAACAUGAGUGUGAACUUAAUUUUUUGUGUGAGCCCAUAUUAAACCAGAAAAAACUUUCAAAGUUAUGAGGGUCCCUGGAUAAAGCCCACGGAGACAAGCUGGUGGGUGAACUUUUGUGCUCUAGAA